rnacentral:rRNA from 1 species
GACGAACGCUGGCGGCGUGCUUAACACAUGCAAGUCGAACGGAAAGGCCCUGCUUUUGUGGGGUGCUCGAGUGGCGAACGGGUGAGUAACACGUGAGUAACCUGCCCUUGACUUUGGGAUAACUUCAGGAAACUGGGGCUAAUACCGGAUAGGAGCUCCUGCUGCAUGGUGGGGGUUGGAAAGUUUCGGCGGUUGGGGCUGGACUCGCGGCUUAUCAGCUUGUUGGUGGAGUAGUGGCUUACCAAGGCUUUGACGGGUAGCCGGCCUGAGAGGGUGACCGGCCACAUUGGGACUGAGAUACGGCCCAGACGCCUACGGGAGGCAGCAGGGGGGAAUAUUGCACAAUGGGCGGAAGCCUGAUGCAGCAACGCCGCGUGCGGGAUGACGGCCUUCGGGUUGUAAACCGCUUUCGCCUGUGACGAAGCGUGAGUGACGGUAAUGGGUAAAGAAGCACCGGCUAACUACGUG